UGAGGAAUAUUGGUCAAUGGGCGAGAGCCUGAACCAGCCAAGUAGCGUGCAGGAUGACGGCCCUAUGGGUUGUAAACUGCUUUUAUGUGGGGAUAAAGUGCGUGACGUGUCAUGCAUUGCAGGUACCACAUGAAUAAGGACCGGCUAAUUCCGUGCCAGCAGCCGCGGUAAUACGGAAGGUCCGGGCGUUAUCCGGAUUUAUUGGGUUUAAAGGGAGCGUAGGCUGUCUAUUAAGCGUGUUGUGAAAUUUACCGGCUCAACCGGUGGCUUGCAGCGCGAACUGGUCGACUUGAGUAUGCAGGAAGUAGGCGGAAUUCAUGGUGUAGCGGUGAAAUGCUUAGAUAUCAUGACGAACACCGAUUGCGCAGGCAGCUUACUGUAGCAUAACUGACGCUGAUGCUCGAAAGUGCGGGUAUCAAACAGG
rnacentral:rRNA from 1 species